GUUGAGACACCAGUUCCCAUACAAUAACUGUAUAAGUUAAGCAACAUUGAGCCUGAUCAGUACCUAGAUGGGUGACCACUUGGGAAUACCAGGUACUGUAAG